CUUUCUGAGUGAAGUCGCUGUGAGUGUGAGAGCUGCUGCGCAAUAAAACUGCUAGGUCGGUCCCGACUUAUAACUAUUGUAUAAAAAACGUUUACCAUUAAAGCUAUUAUUAUAUUAUAGAUACUGGUACUAUUUAUGUAAACGCUGCGUAACUUUCAUGUGUUUGAUGGGCGCGCGCGUUGAACAUUCGAGGCGCUUUUAAACUGGAGUGGAAGGAGUUUCCAUGGAAACGGGGCGGCAACUCAGCUGACAAGUAGCAAAAAAACUCCGUCUCUCACUGUUGUUUUUACUGCUUUCAGAAAUGGUUCAGUGUCAUCGGAAAAAGUCCGUUAGCAUCACAACCGUGAGCUAACCAGAGGCUAACUAUAAGAGUCGUCCAUGCUGAUGGCCGUGCAGCAGAGUUGGAGGGGACCUCUUGUCGAAGAACAUCUCCAAGACACUAUGAGCAUCUGACUAGCUUUUUGUGAAGACAGAAAAUCAAGAGAUGUUGUGACAACCUGGACAGAAUUCAGCUCCGGAUCCACCCUCCACACCAGACUUCUCACGCACAAGGACUGCUGUCUACUAGCAUAUUGCGUUCUCUUCAGUGCAUGGAGAUAUUACCUGAUUUUUAGAUAUAAUGAAAACUCUAUCAUAUAUAUAUAUAUAUAUAUAUAUAUAUAUAUGAAGAGUUCAGAUGCAAAAGCCUCUAAAUGCCAUCUGAAAUUUUCUUCUAAAAUGAGCAUUUUUCUCAAGCUCCUAUAUUUAUGUUCAGUUAUUUCAUUUUAAUUGCAUAGAAAAUGACCUAUAUAUUGCCAUUAGAGUAAAAUAACUGAACCUAAACAUAGCAGCUUGAUAAAAAUGCUAAUUUUAGAUGGCACUUAGAGGCUUUUGCAUCUGAACUCUUCAUAUAUAUAUAUACACUAUAUUGCCAAAAGUAUUGGGUCACCCCCUUCUAAUGAACAGGUUUGACUACUUUAGCAAUUUCCAUGAGUACAAAUCUUAAUGUUUAAGCAUAUAAUGAUAUUCUAGGGAAUUGUGUGCUUCUAAUUUUAAAGCAACAGUUUGGACAGGACCCUUUUCUAUACUAACAUGACAAUGUCUCUGUGUAUAAGGCAAGGUUCAAAAAGAAAAGAUUGAUUGAGUCAGUGUGGAAGAACUUGACUGGUCUGCAGAAAGCCAAGUCCUAAUCCAAGCUGAACACCUCUGGUGUGACUUUAAAUGUUACAUUGUCUGGAGAGUUUUUCAGUGUCCAAAUGUUGUUUGUAUUCUAUUUAUUAUGAAGGGGCAAAUUAUAAUCUCGAUAAUGAAAACAUGUACAUGUGUGGAUAUUUAAUUUAGUUACAUAUAGUUUGAGUAAACGGGAAUAUAUUCUA